ACAGUCAUUCCUGCAGUGGGCCUACAGAUGGGCCUUCUUGUGAAGGAACUGGUGAGUGUUAAUAUUUUCUCAAAAAGGUAAUUAUUAAACAGAAAACAAUAAUGUUCAACGUUUUCAGUCAAGUUCGUCUCCAGGACAAGUCUGCAGUCAGAGCAGGCAGUUCACGACACUGCCUAUGCAGACAUAUGAAUACUUGCACUUGACAAAAACAAACUGUAGUCAACAGUGUAAAUCACUGCACAGGAAUGCAAACCUUCCGACAGCACCCUUCAGAGAUGUGGGUUUCACCAGGCCUCCCAGCCUGUACAGAUUACAGGCUGUGUCCUCCUGCUGUGCAGCUCCAGAGGGCAGCUCUGCUCUACUGUGUCCUGUGCUGAUGCUGAGUCCCACAGACCUCAUACACUGCAGUGUCCCUGUGAGAGAGCUCCUGCAACACAGGUCUGACAAGCGAAAUAAUUUCUCACCAUCGCUGCAGUUUCUACCUGCUUCAGGAAAGAAGAAAACAGAAAAUAGAGGUCAACGUGAAGUUAAGGAAACACUGGGACUGACUGGAGAGUGUAUGAUCUUUUUGUUCGUGCUAUCGUUCUAUUGUUUCUGAAUUAGAAUUAGAUAUUGAGGAAGAUGUGUUGCUCUUUUCAAUUCAGGCAUCAUUGAAACAAUGGAAAUACAUAAACAGAGCUGACACUACAGCCCUAUGCGCUGUCAUUCACUUCGGUCUAUAUUCAUAAUUUCCUUAAAGCAUUAGUACAUCAAUAAUGUAGAAAUAUUGAAAUUAGACAACUCAACUACGACAUGCACACUUCGGAAUACAGUGUAUUUUUUACAACGUAAGGAUGUUCAGUCUUGUGUUUGAUUUAUUUCUUACCUUCAUCUCUGCUGGAAUAAACACCUGUAUGUAAGAAUUAAAAACUAAUUUCAGCUUGAAACACUGUUUUGUAUGGAAGCCCGUUACCACACCGCGUUUUAUUUUUUACUCCCUGGAGGAAACGGGCUUCCAUAGGGUUUUUGCAAUAUUAGGAAUGAAACAUCUUAACAAAAGACAAUGCAUUUUAUUGAUAAAAUUAUUAUAUCCGAUUCUGUCUGUUAUAUAAAUAAAGAUAAUUGUGUACUUUG